rnacentral:rRNA from 1 species
AUUGAACGCUGGCGGCAGGCCUAACACAUGCAAGUCGAGCGAGGGGCGGAGGGGUGAGUAAUGUAUGGGGCUCUGCCCGAUAGAGGGGGAAAACUAGUGGAAACGGUGGCUAAUACCGUAUACUAUCGGAUGAACCCAUAUGGGAUUAGCUAGUAGGUGGGGUAAAGGCUCACCUAGGCGACGAUCUCUAGCUGGUCUGAGAGGAUGAUCAGCCACACUGGGACUGAGACACGGCCCAGACUCCUACGGGAGGCAGCAGUGGGGAAUAUUGCACAAUGGGCGCAAGCCUGAUGCAGCCAUGCCGCGUGUGUGAAGAAGGCCCUCGGGUUGUAAAGCACUUUCAGCCGGGAGGCGUUACUCACAGAAGAAGCACCGGCUAACUCCGUGCCAGCAGCCGCGGUAAUUC